rnacentral:rRNA from 1 species
AACGAACGCUGGCGGCAUGCCUAACACAUGCAAGUCGAACGAGACCUUCGGGUCUAGUGGCGCGCGGGUGCGUAACGCGUGGGAAUCUGCCCUUGGGUUCGGGAUAACAGUUGGAAACGACUGCUAAUACCGGAUGAUGACUUCGGUCCAAAGAUUUAUCGCCCAGGGAUGAGCCCGCGUCGGAUUAGCUAGUUGGUGGGGUAAAGGCCUACCAAGGCGACGAUCCGUAGCUGGUCUGAGAGGAUGAUCAGCCACACUGGGACUGAGACACGGCCCAGACUCCUACGGGAGGCAGCAGUGGGGAAUAUUGGACAAUGGGCGAAAGCCUGAUCCAGCAAUGCCGCGUGAGUGAUGAAGGCCUUAGGGUUGUAAAGCUCUUUUACCCGGGAUGAUAAUGACAGUACCGGGAGAAUAAGCCCCGGCUAACUCCGUGCCAGCCGCCGCCGUAACAC